AACGUUCCCAGGAAGCAACAACUCAGCCCAGGCAUGGGCUAGUCGGAGCCUGGAGAUCUCAGCUGGGAUCCUGGCGCCUGGGGAAGGGCCCGGCUCUAAAAAUAAACUGCUCGCCUCAGCCUGGGAGCAGCCGUGCGAGCCUGGCGAGCAGGGGCUGCUGCCCGCCACUCCGGGCAGAUGACGGCGGGCCUGGCCCAGCCAGAGUGCCCCCCUCUCUGGCAGCUGGCCACUGGGACAGGCUGGUGGCAGCUGGCAGCCAGGAAUAUUUGACCCCCGACUCCCGGAGGUGCCCCCCCACCCCCAACCGCCCUGCCGCACACGUGAAUACACAUAUGCCCCAACCUGGGACGUGCUCCGCAGAGCGUGGCCAGACUGCUCCCGGGGACCAGCCGGUGAGGGGCAGUGGGGACGCCAGGAGGUGCCCUCCGCAUGCUGGACAGUGACAAGUCUCAGAACAGGGAGCCCAGCAGUGGAGGCUGAAGACCAGGCCACGCACCCACACUCGCGACAGCCACCCCACCCAUUGUGACCAAAGGCCAGGCUGGGGCCGGGGCUGGACGGACGUUAUCUCACACAUGGAACCACCCAGUUCUACUGCAAAGAAUAAAACUCUGUAAGAAGGCACAGCUCAGCAAAGCGGGGCAGCUCUCCACGCACUUUACUGCUGGCGGAAGAGGCUGCGUGUCGGAAGCAGAAACGGUGCCCGCCGGCUGCACGGACAGGCCUCCUGCCUUUGGCACGGAAGCUCUGCUCCAGACCCGCAGGGGCUGUGCCUCCCUGGUAAUGCCCACGUCCAGCUGUUGCUCUUGCCCCGGUUCCAGAUGCUAAGAGCAAGGGCUACUCUGAUUGGAGGAGAUGGGACGGGAACAAGGUGGGUGCCAGCCUGGCCUCCCACUGACUCCCCCACAGUGGAAACCCCCACGUCCGGAGCUCUCCUGUUCACCACGGGAACACAGUGCGACCCCCUCCCCCGCAUCGACUAUCUCCUCUAGAAACCCACCUGGACCUGGGCGCAGCCAGCCCUCCCGCCAGUCCUGAAUCCUGGCUGCCCCGCUGGGGUGAGCCAGGGACCCGGGUCUGCCUUCUCCGGCCGGCCUUCCUUCCGGGAGCCGUCCCUGAGCCUGCCCUGGCGGGAGUCCGCUGGGCACCACCUGGUGGAACAGAGAUGGAGUCUAGGAACUGCCAGCCCAGUGGGGAUGUCACCCACGACCGUGGGGACUCUCCGGGGUCUCCCAGGAGGCUCCUCGGAGUCCCCGGGGGCCCCCCUGGGCCUGCCCCCCUCAGCCGCCUCCCCCGUGUGGGUCAGUCCCCAUCUCUCUUCCCACGUCCAUUGGUCUCUUUUUCUCUCUAGACCCUCUGUCUCUUCUCUCAGCCUCGAGUGGCCCUGAAAUAAAGCUGGAGUGUCCUCUUUAG
rnacentral:lncRNA from 1 species